rnacentral:tRNA from 1 species
AUUUAAAUAGUUUAUUUAAAAUAAAGAUUUGUGGUGUCUUAGAUGUUAAUUAACUUUAAAUU